UAAAAUCUUAACGUUGAGCGAUAAUGUCUUAUUUCAUUGAUGCACCUUCGGUUUUAGACAGCGUUAGGGUGCGCUUUUCUGUGCAAACGAAUUUUUCCAAUGCGACUUAUGAAAGUGGUAGUACUGGACACGAUUUA